rnacentral:lncRNA from 1 species
AUGCAGCUGUCUCGUCUGCACUCGUCCACCAAUGCUCCGGUGACGGCGAAGGUUCUGCUGCGCCGUUCUUCCUCCCGCCGCCUCCUGCAAUCACAGCAGGAAGCAGCUGCCCCCACCCAGGAGCGAAGACUCUCCCUCAUACCCACAAUCCCAGAGGCCAUUGCGCCCGAGAAGCGGGCCACGUUUAGGAGACGCAACGUCAUGUCACUGAGCGACGCAGACAGUGUGUGUCUGAUCUGUCACAACGACCUGAACCGAGGAACCGGUGGCACCAGAGAGCUGCAGUGCACACACACCUUCCACAAAGAGUGUAUAGAGGAGUGGUUGUGGAGGAAACAGUCCUGCCCCACCUGCCAUGUUCAGGUGUCCAUACCGCAGCCCGUCUACUGGAACUCCACCAGGGUCAAGGUCCCCUAA